AAUACCUUUAAUUUUCCUUAUGAUUACGGGAGUGUGAUGCAUUACGGACCCACGUUUUUCUCCAAAAACGGCAAACCAACAAUCGUGCCAAAACGAGCAGGGGCUAGAAUUGGUCAGCGAAAUGGUCUCAGUCCAUCUGAUCGUAACCAGUUGACCCGUCUUUACCAAUCGUGCAGAGUUGGUUAAUAGCUUAUUUUCAAAGUCUGAGGUCAUUUGCAAGUGGAAAUAAGACAAAUAAUCUCAAAAGACAUAAAGUAAACUAAAUGGAAUGGAAAUAUAGCUUAAAAUAAAAUAGAAUAAAAGCAGUGGAAACGGUAAAUUUGCGUCCUUCAUGUAAUAGGACAAAUAAUCUUAGAAGACAUAACGUGACUAAAUGGAAUGGAAAUAUAACUUUAAAUAGAAUAGAAUUAAAGCAUUGGAA